GAUGAACGCUGGCGGCGUGCCUAAUACAUGCAAGUCGAGCGAACAGACGAGGAGCUUGCUCCUCUGACGUUAGCGGCGGACGGGUGAGUAACACGUGGAUAACCUACCUAUAAGACUGGGAUAACUUCGGGAAACCGGAGCUAAUACCGGAUAAUAUAUUGAACCGCAUGGUUCAAUAGUGAAAGACGGUUUUGCUGUCACUUAUAGAUGGAUCCGCGCCGCAUUAGCUAGUUGGUAAGGUAACGGCUUACCAAGGCGACGAUGCGUAGCCGACCUGAGAGGUGGAUCGGCCACACUGGAACUGAGACACGGUCCAGACUCCUACGGGAGGCAGCAGUAGGGAAUCUUCCGCAAAGGGCGAAAGCCUGACGGAGCAACGCCGCGUGAGUGAUGAAGGUCUUCGGAUCGUAAAACUCUGUUAUUAGGGAAGAACAAAUGUGUAAGUAACUAUGCACGUCUUGACGGUACCUAAUCAGAAAGCCACGGCUAACUACGUG
rnacentral:rRNA from 1 species